GUCUAUGGCUAUACCACCCUGAACAUGCCCGAUCUCGUCUGACCUUGGAAGCUAAGCAGGGUCAGGCCUGGGUAGCGCUUGGAUGGGAGAAUGGAGAGUCCUCUGUGUAGGAA
rnacentral:rRNA from 1 species